rnacentral:ncRNA from 1 species
AAGACCAGACCCGGUAAAGCGUAGCGAGCAGCCGGUACUCAGCCUUGGAGCCGAAGCCGCGAGGCGAGGUUUAAGCGUAGGCAGAGGAGUGCGAGAGCCGCAAUGGGAAACCGUGAAGCGAUGCAGCCCCGUAAGUUAUAAAGAGCGGAAGCCGAUACCGUCCUCCAGGUCGCAGGCAGCAAGAACCAACCGCAAGCGCGAGGUUGGGGAGAUUCCGCCGGGGUCAA